AGGUAAGCUACUAAGAGCGAAUGGUGGAUGCCUUGACUGGUAAAGGCGAUGAAGGACGUACUAGACUGCGAUAAGCUACGGGGAGCUGUCAAGAAGCUUUGAUCCGUAGAUUUCCGAAUGGGGCAACCCAAUGUAUAGAGAUAUACAUUACCUAUAUAGGAGCGAACGAGGGGAAUUGAAACAUCUUAGUACCCUCAGGAAAAGAAAUCAAUAG
rnacentral:rRNA from 1 species